UGGGGAAUUUUGGACAAUGGGGGAAACCCUGAUCCAGCCAUCCCGCGUGUGCGAUGAAGGCCUUCGGGUUGUAAAGCACUUUUGGCAGGAAAGAAACGUCGCGGGUUAAUACCCCGCGAAACUGACGGUACCUGCAGAAUAAGCACCGGCUAACUACGUGCCAGCAGCCGCGGUAAUACGUAGGGUGCAAGCGUUAAUCGGAAUUACUGGGCGUAAAGCGUGCGCAGGCGGUUCGGAAAGAAAGAUGUGAAAUCCCAGAGCUUAACUUUGGAACUGCAUUUUUAACUACCGGGCUAGAGUGUGUCAGAGGGAGGUGGAAUUCCGCGUGUAGCAGUGAAAUGCGUAGAUAUGCGGAGGAACACCGAUGGCGAAGGCAGCCUCCUGGGAUAACACUGACGCUCAUGCACGAAAGCGUGGGGAGCAAACAGGAUUAGAUACCCUGGUAGUCCACGCCCUAAACGAUGUCAACUAGCUGUUGGGGCCUUCGGGCCUUGGUAGCGCAGCUAACGCGUGAAGUUGACCGCCUGGGGAGUACGGUCGCAAGAUUAAAAA
rnacentral:rRNA from 1 species